UUUUUUUUUUUUCUUUUCACUGGGAGCGGCUGUGCACGGCCAGCAUGGCCAACACCUUGAACAUCUUACAAGGCUUGGUGAAUCUGCAGCCAGAGGGGAAAGUAACUGUGGUCAUAACCCUGAUAGGGCAGGGCAUGGUGGCUCUAGCCUGUAAUCCCAGGUACUUAGGAGGCUGGGGUGAGAGGAUUAUCUGAGACCAGGAGUUCAAGACCAGCCUGAGCAACAUGGUGGGAUCCUGUCUCUAAAAUAAAAAUUAGCCAGGAGUGGUGGUGCAUGCCUGUGCUUCCAGCUACUUGGAAGGCUGAGGUGGAGGAUUUCUUGAGCCAGGAGUUCAAGGCUGCAGUGAGCUAUGAUCGUACCACUGCACUCCAGCUUGAGUGACAGAAUGAGACCCUGUCUCCAAACCCAACCCCUCCCCACCAAUAAAACAGAUCAAUGGAAACGAGAUUAUUCUCAUAUACCUGAGGCAGCUCACCUACUGCUCUUACUGCAGGAAGUUUAUCUGGGGAGUAUUUGGGAAACAGGGUUAUCAAUGCCAGGUGUGCACCUGUGUUGCCCAUAAACACUGCCAUCAUGUAACCAUUACAGUCUGUAUUUGCCAAAACGAUAUUAACCAAGAAGAUUCAAAGAUUGCCAGAGGUUCAGAAUCAACAUCUCACACAAGUGCAGCAUCCACAACUAUAAAUCACUACCACUUUUCAAUCACUGUGGUGCCCUGCUUUGGGGGAUAAUGGGUCUUCAUUUCUGAAGGCUCUAGUGUCAUGUAAAACUUUGAUGAAAUAAAUUUGUUAUAAUUUUCUUUUGGUUUUGUUUUCUUUUUUUGAGAUACAGUCUCACUCUGUCACCCAGGCUAGAGUGCAGUGGCAUGAUCACAGUUCACUGCAGCCUCGACCUCUUGGGCUCAAGUGAUCCUUCUGGCUCCUGUUUCCUGAGUAGCUGGGUUUACGGGUGCACACCACCACACCCAGCUAAUUUUGUUUAUUUUUUGUAGAGACAGGGCCUUGUUAUGUUGUCCAGGCUGGUCCUGAAUUCCUGGGCUCAAGCAAUCUUCCUGCCUUGGCCUCCCGAAGUGCUAGCAUUAUAGGCAUGAACCACUGCACCUGGUUCUUUUCUCUUGUUAAUCUGUCGUUUGCUAUAGGAGUGGUGGCUGUUCCUUACGAUGGAUGAGGAAAGUUAUCACAUUUUUCUGCCACUACACUGCCUUUGAGAAUUUGCAGUUUACCCUUCUGUGAGUCCCCUUGGAUUUGCAGUAAACAAGGGUGUGCUAGAGCCUGCUCUUAGCAGCUUGCAAUUUUUAGGAUUUUGUGAGCCAGUUGUCAAACACAACCUUCAUUAACAAUCAGAUUACAGUCUGGGUAUGGUGGCUCAUGCCUGUAAUCUCAGCUUUGGGAGGCUGAGGCAAGGAGGAUCGCUUGAGCCCACGAGUUUAAGACCAGUCUAGGCAGCAUAAUGAGAACCCCAUCUCUCCAAAAAAAAAAAAAGAAAGAAAUUAGCUGGGUAUGGUGGCGUGCACCUGUAGUCCCAGCUACUCAGGAGGCUGAGGUGGGAGGAUUGCGUGAGUCCAGGAGGUCAAGGUUGCUGUCAGCUGUGAUUGUGCCACUGUACUCCAGCCUGUAAUAAUUUAACUACAUAAAUUAUAUUAAAACCAA
ensembl:lncRNA